rnacentral:misc_RNA from 1 species
CCAUUUCUGACAAUGUGAUUUCCCACCCCUCCUUCCCUCUUAUUUUCUGUGUUGAGGUCAGUGUUUUUCACUUCAAAGCUUGAUAGAAAAUGGGGCAAGUUUUGGGUUGCAUUCAAGUGGACCAGUCAACUGUGGCUAUCAAGGAAACUUUUGGGAAGUUCGAUGAUGUGCUUGAGCCUGGUUGUCACUGUUUGCCUUGGUGCUUAGGGAGCCAGUUAGCAGGGCAUCUCUCUUUACGUGUGCAGCAGCUGGACGUUCGAUGUGAAACCAAAACCAAGGAUAAUGUGUUUGUUACUGUGGUUGCUUCUGUUCAAUACCGAGCAUUGGCAGAAAAGGCUGCGGAUGCUUUCUAUAAGCUCAGCAAUACCAG